rnacentral:rRNA from 1 species
AGUUUGAUCAUGGCUCAGGACGAACGCUGGCGGCGCGCUUAACACAUGCAAGUCGAGCGAUAACCAUGGCUUCGGCUAUGGGGAGAGCGGCGAACGGGUGAGUAACACGUGAGUAAUCUGCCCUCGACACUGGGAUAGCCCGGGGAAACCCGGAUUAAUACCGGAUAGCCUCUCGAGCUCUCGGGCUCGUGAGAAAAGAUGGCUUCGGCUUUCGGUUGAGGAGGAGCUUGCGGCGGAUUAGCUUGUUGGUGAGGUAACGGCCCACCAAGGCGACGAUCCGUAGCUGGUCUGAGAGGACGAUCAGCCACACUGGGACUGAGACACGGCCCAGACUCCUACGGGAGGCAGCAGUGGGGAAUCUUGCGCAAUGGGCGAAAGACUGACGCAGCGACGCCGCGUGAGGGAAGAAGGCCUUCGGGUUGUAAACCUCUUUCAGGAGGGACGAAGCUACUCGGGUUAAUAGCCCAGAGGGUGACGGUACCUCCAGAAGAAGCCCCGGCUAACUACGUGCCAGCAGCCGCGGUAAUACGUAGGGGGCAAGCGUUGUCCGGAUUUAUUGGGCGUAAAGAGCGUGUAGGCGGCCAGAUAAGUCCGCUGUGAAAACUCGAAGCUCAACUUCGAGCUGUCGGUGGAAACUAUCUGGCUAGAGUCCGGAAGAGGAGAGUGGAAUUCCUGGUGUAGCGGUGAAAUGCGCAGAUAUCAGGA